rnacentral:lncRNA from 1 species
CAACAGACAGGAACUGUGGCCUCAAGGCACAGUCACACCUCGUCCAGAAUCCAGGACCAAGCGCGGGCCCAUUCUGUCCUCUCCACCCCAGCCCUCCCCACCUCGCUUCAGAGAUGUCCCCAGGCCUGAUGUUGCUGGGGCACAUGGCUGGGGUGAACCCGGGCCCAUCCCCUGUGAAGUCAGCGGCUCCCCGGCAUCCUAUGACCCACACUGGAUGGAGAUGACACAGAGAGGGCAGAGCUGUGAGCUUGGGUUUUCAACAGACACCCCAGGCCUGGGGCCUGCUGUGCAGCCUGGAGUCACUGACCAUCUCUGAGCCCUCAAUUCAGCAUCUGGAAAGCAGGCGUGAUGACAGCUUGGGCCUCCGGGGCUUGGAGACAUCAGGGACACGGCCGGGGUUAGGGGUACUGAGGGGUUGGGUGCUCCCCUCAGAAGGGCCUUCUUGUCCUUCCCGGCCCUCCUCAAACCUCAGCAAUCUCAGCUGCCACUAACCAGCAAGACGACAAUGCUGAAGGACUCACCGAGACCCCUUGCCAACCCCACCCUGGACCACCCAGCAGCCCUUCCCGCACAUCACACCCGUCACUCUCCCGGCCCCUGCCCGCCUGGUGCGCCCUAUGUCUCCCCAAUAACUCCUCCCCUUCACGGCUCUCCCCAAGGACGGAGGGCCCUUGCCCUGCCCAGCCAGGCUGUGGUCCCUGAAAGCAGCUCCUGGAUGGCUCUUGCAGUGACCCCCAACAAAAUUGAUUGAUCAUCAAUCAAGCCAGCCUUCAAGGAGGGGGUGAGUGUGGGAACGACUGUCUCCUCUGGGGACUUCAGCACUGCACACACGGCCACAGCACCGCACCCGCACGGCCCCGGCGGCCUUUCCACCUGUGAGGAUGGAGAAGGUGGCAGGGGAAGGGCAGGCAGAAGAAUGGACAAAAAGAAACCUCCCACUGCUGCACAUGGGUCUGAGGAGAACCCAAUAAAGCACCUGGUGACCUUUGA